rnacentral:rRNA from 1 species
AGUGAACGCUGGCGGUAGGCCUAACACAUGCAAGUCGAACGGCAGCACAGUAAGAGCUUGCUCUUACGGGUGGCGAGUGGCGGGCGGGUGAGGAAUACAUCGGAAUCUACUUUUUCGUGGGGGAUAACGUAGGGAAACUUACGCUAAUACCUCAUACGACCUACGGGUGAAAUCAGGGGAUCUUCGCACCUUGCGCGAUUGAAUGAGCCGAUGUCGGAUUAGCUAGUUGGCGGGGUAAAGGCCCACCAAGGCAACGAUCCGUAGCUGGUCUGAGAGGAUGAUCAGCCACACUGGAACUGAGACACGGUCCAGACUCCUACGGGAGGCAGCAGUGGGGAAUAUUGGACAAUGGGCGAAAGCCUGAUCCGGCCAUACCGCGUGGGUGAAGAAGGCCUUCGGGUCGUAAAGCCCUUUUGUUGGGAAAGAAAAGCAGCAGGUUAAUACCCCGCUGUUCUGACGGUACCCAAAGAAUAAGCACCGGCUAACUUCGUG